AUUUCUUGGUUUUCCUGCAGGACUUGUUAAGACCCACAUGCAGAAUAUGAGCUUCAGCCGACCCUCCCUGGCUUGCCUCUCCUGAACCCUCAAGCUAAAACUCUUCAUGUCCCCUUCCAACAUUCUUCUUCCCCGGAAGAGCUGCAGACAUACGGACUCCCAUGGGAGCAGAGUCCUCUUGUCCCAUGCACACACUGGAUUAUCUCCCAGCAGAUGCACAGGGGCAGCGAUGGGGACCUGCAGCCCCUUCCCAGUUUGCCUGGCUCUAACUGACAUAUCUCUGGGAGCUCAAACAGAACUCAAAUUGCACAAAUCCCUCUGAAAUACACGCUUGGCACUGGAAGCUCUGAUCGUCCCCGAGCAUAAGCUAAAUAGGAUUUUCUUCAAGUUUACCUUAAUACAAAGACCAGCUGCAUCCUGUCAGGCUGGAGGAGAUCGGCUUUGCGAGCGGAGGAGAAAAGAGUGAGAAAGAAGCAAAUUAAAGUAUUCCUGAGAGGGGAGAGGAUGUGUGAAUCCCUGAUGUGAAAUGGCCUGAAAUGAAAUCGCUGCAACAAGCAGCCUCCACAGAGUGCUUCUAGACUUGUGCUGUUGCCUUUCAUCGACCAAUUUAUUUCACCAAAGGCAAAAAUGCACGUCUGAGUGGACAGGACUCUUUGGCAGGAAUGGUACUGCUCUGUAAGGAGAUGGGAAGGAAAUGGAAGCAAACAGCUCCAAGUGUUUGGAUCCCCUGCCCAAGCCCAGUUCCUUUCCCAAGCUUUUCUCACGUUGGGCUGCCAGGCUGCUCCACGCCAGUGGGUCCUGUGAGCACUGCAGCAGAGCCGAAAGCACAACGAAUGCCAUGCAGAGACUUUGCUGCUUGUGAACUGCUGCUCCCAGGCCUCACUUGGUUUUCCUUUCCUAUCCAUGCAAACAGCCAAGAGUUGGCAGUGGAUGGCAACAGCAGGAGAAGCCACGGAAGCAUCGUCCACACGCACAGCCCAGUACAGCCAAAUGGGCAAACGGCGUGUCAGCAUUUGCAGCUCAUCAGCAAGGAGUUCUGGCUGCUCCCCUGGGUAUGACGCCCCCUCCAUCUCCACUCUCCUCAGAAGCAGCCAGCCCAAGCGGAAUCAUUCUGCCCUUUCACUCAGCAGCAGCACUGGCUUUUGCAAAUUAAGGGCCAGAACAGAGAGGUGAUGAGACAAAAACUCAGCCCAGCUUUCAGACAUAGUUGCUACCCACCGCCUUAAGGGCAGAGAUCCGUACCCUGUGUGUGUGCUGCUGUUGGGACAUGGAGGCAGAGACAGUUCAUUCUGCUUUUUUUUUCCAUUGUGCAUGGGUACACAACGUGGCUCUCAGCCUCCUCUACAAUAAUGCUUUGUUUCCCUCAACCAACACCACUCUGUCAGCGAUGUAAAUAAUUUUAGCACAUCCAAACAGGAAGUGGCUGAGUGUUUGGGUGUCUGAAUCAACAUCCUGGAGGCUGGGCCUUUGCCACCAGUGCAAUAACUAAAUGCAUGAGUCGCCUAUGGAUGGAAGCGCAGGUCUUGGAAAUGGCAGAGCCAGUAAAACUCAGUGCCAGAAUGUGACCGUUGCCAAAUAAUACUGUUGCUUGUCCAGUUUGUGUGGCCGCAGGCUGCUUCAUCUCAGCUUCUCCGUGCUGAUGCAAUCAUGUUUCCUUUCUGCUUGUGGCAUUGGUAUGGAAAGAGUAGAACGGAGGACUGGCACUAUUGCGUUGGUGCGCAGCACUCGAAGGCUCUCAGGGUUGUAAGCUCAAUGGGCCAGUGGGGAAGCCAUGCACAGAAGGGAAGUUCUUCACAGAGAGAGUGUUGAGGUGCUGGAACAGGCUGUCCAGAGAGGCUGUGGAUGCUCCGUGCCUGGAGGUGUUCAUCCAGCUUGGAUGGAGCCCUGGGCAGCCUGGUCUGGUACCAGACCUGGAGGUUGGUGGCCCUACCUGCAGUUGGAACUUGAUGAUCCUUGAGGUCCCUUCCAACCCAAGACAUUCUAUGCUUGCAUGACUUCAGAGCCACCAAUCAGAGCUUCUGAGCUUCCUGGGCCAAUUUUAGGAGAAGGAGUGGGCCCAUCUGCUGGUCCUGCUGGGGAUGCUGCAUGUGGGGUCGCUUCCAGAUCUGGUGAACACCCACGGGAAGCUGUCAUCAGCUGCUUGGCAGAAGCCAAAGGUUCCUACCAAAGUACUUCCCUGAGCCCUCCUGGUUUCCUGUCAAUAGAAAUAGUCGUCUCCUAACUUACACCCAUAAGAUCUUCUACAGGUGUUACUCAUUGCUCUCCUCUUUUAUCUCUCGCGCUGUUGGAGUGUGUUGGAAGGGUUUUUUUCUGGCCCAGGAAGAACACAUUUAUGAGCCAGUGCCCCGAAGCUCCUAUUGUUAGUUAUUUAAUAAGAAAGAAACAAACAGAAGCCCCUCCCCCAAAACAACAAAGCCAAAGAGUAAGCUACAGAGCACACAGCCCCAUUUCAACAAUGCUAUCGUUAAUAAAACACGUGGAGGUUGCAGAGGGAGCAAUGCACUGUGCUGGCAUCGUGUUCUCACCUUGCACAAGUGUGUUUCAGGCAGAGAUGCUGAUCUCACAGGGACACUUCUGCAUCCCGCACCAAGCUGUUGCUUUGAGGCAGGUGUGGAUGGAGUGCUUUGUGAGGCACUGAGAGCAUCAACGCAUGCUCUGCCAUUUCACUGAAGAAAGUGGAAGCAUUUAACGAUGGGCUGGUGUGUAGGAGCAGUGACAUUUCUGCACUGUUAUUCAUCACGACCACGAUGGGCCAUGUUUGUCAAGAUGCCCUGUUUCGGAGAAGGCUCUCACACAUCCACUCUUGUUAUUCGUAACUGAGCAAAAAUGCAAUAUUUAAAAUGCAGCUGGCAAUGGCUUGGAGUCUGAAUCCUGCCUUGUCCUGGUGAAUCUCAGACAGUGAACCUGAGGAGAUGGCAGAUUGGAAGGGAAAACAGUCCGGAUUCGGGAGGGUGAAGUUCCGAUAUCUUGCAGAAUAAAAUUAAAAUCUCAAUUCAGAUCAAAACAGAGCUGUUAUAUCUCACGGGGGAAAACCUCCCAGUGUUUUCCACCAACUCAAGUAUCACUAUUAACAGAGAGUGACUUUUCUCACAGUGAAUGUGGUGUUGGUGGAAAUGCCAGAGGCGGCUGUAGGAAAUAGGACAUGACUUUUUGCUCUGAAUAAAAAUGUUUGGGGGCC
ensembl:lncRNA